rnacentral:rRNA from 1 species
AUGCACGCUGGCGGCGUGCUUAACACAUGCCAGUCGAACGGAAAGGCUCCUGCCUGCAGGGGUACUCGAGUGGCGAACGGGUGAGUAACACGUGGGUGAUCUGCCCUGUACUUCGGGAUAAGCUUGGGAAACUGGGUCUAAUACCGGAUAUGACAAUCUCUUGGAUGGGGUUGUGGAAAGCUUUUGCGGUAUGGGAUGAGCUCGCGGCCUAUCAGCUUGUUGGUGGGGUAAUGGCCUACCAAGGCGUCGACGGGUAGCCGGCCUGAGAGGGUGUACGGCCACAUUGGGACUGAGAUACGGCCCAGACUCCUACGGGAGGCAGCAGUGGGGAAUAUUGCACAAUGGGCGCAAGCCUGAUGCAGCGACGCCGCGUGGGGGAUGACGGCCUUCGGGUUGUAAACUCCUUUCGCAACCGACGAAGCUUUUGUGACGGUAGGUGGAGAAGAAGCACCGGCUAACUACGUG